GUUUCUAAAUAUAUUUCCUUGCAUGCAAUUUGUAUACCGCAUCUAGAAAAGGUAACUAUACAAUCUUUCAUUAUACGUUUAAACUCGAUUUUAUAGUAUUUUUAAAACAGGCGGCUUGAACACUUUACCAUACGGAUAUUAACACACCCGAUAUAUACAACAAACCGACGACCCUGUAUUGCAUUGUAUAACUGUGAUCGGUGGUGGCAGCGGCGGCGGCGGCGGCGUCGGCGACGGGUCUUAGGUAGGGAUUUUUUGAAUGAAUGAAUAGUCGCUAUUCAUUACUCCCCAUAGUUGAUGAUAUUUUGUCGUACCAUAUUAUCCUAUAUCUCUCGAUCGCUCUGUAUCAAUACUACGCACGUAAUUUAUUAUCAUAUAACGUUUUAAUUUUUCUUGUUCAUUUAUUUUUAAAUGUUUAAAUGCGAAUAAUGUUUUUUUGAAAUUCGUAUGCAAGUCAAAUUUGAUCGCUCACCGAAAAACACAUCUCGAAAUGUUUAAAUCUCGACAAUGUCCUUUGGGAUUCACUUUGAAACGUAAUCUAACUAGACACGAAAAAAAUCACAACGCCUAGCGUAUCCCGUGUAUUAGGUGUGGUAUUACGUUCAGUUAUAAGGCCGGUCUCAAUAAACAUUUGAAAAAUGUUCAUGGUAUAGUACAAAUCGCGCCACACGUUUUUGUACCAGACUUACAGCCUGGUACAUCAUCCGUUCGUAAAGAUUGCGUAUCAACUGGACGAGAUGAACAAAAUGUCCGCUUAUCACCCAUUCGAGAUAACGCGAUGGAUGAAUUUUAGAGUAAUGUGAAUGAAUGCUUGGAAGUUCUAGACACCGUUGAGAAUCUCGGACUUUAUAAUUCUCAAGAUUCAUACACUACGCUCGAUAAUGGCAAACGUGUCUCCAGUGCAAAUACAACGUCGGCUGUUAGGCUAAAAAAAUUACGUUUAAAUCUCGUAAAGUCUUCAAGAUUUACACAAAUCUCUACAUCAUCAAAUCAUGCAAUUACCUGAUAUUACGUGAAAAAUACCGGGAAAUUUAGACCUUCAUUAUGCAAUACGUACCUAUAAUCUUAAACUUCAAACACCUAACUUCAUACCAGUAUUUUUUCAUAAUUUAUCAAAUUAUGAUGCACAUUUUAUUGUCACUCGUCUCGGGUAUGAUACAAACUCUAUCUCGGUAAUGAUCCAACACAACCAAAAUCAUGGCUUGUUUAUCAGGAUUGUAACAACUUGUACGUGUUGGACACCGUAAAGUCACAAGUGUAGUUUAACAGUUCAAAGUUUCUAUUGAAAUCGUUGGGCUCAGAGAAAAUAGAAUUUGUACUCUCGUUCAUGUAUUCCAGUGUUCUGGGUUCGUUCAAAGACUCGUGUAUACACACACACACACACAGCUUUCCAGUGGAGUGAGCGUUGCGAGGCUGGUUAUCGUGUUUUUCAUUUUCAACAAAAACGGUAACGUCGUUUUAUACGCGGUCGUUUGAUCGUCGUCGGCUUGGUUUAUGUUCGGUCUUAACACUCGUCUCGGGUAUGAUACAAACUCUAUCUCGGUAAUGAUCCAACACAACCAAAAUCAUGGCUUGUUUAUCAGGAUUGUGAGUAUAAUUUAAUAUUUAAUUUAAUAUUUAAUUUAUUAUAUUACUUAAAUUACAGGUAACAACUUGUACGUGUUGGACACCGUAAAGUCACAAGUGUAGUUUAACAGUUCAAAGUUUCUAUUGAAAUUAAUGUAUGAGUCAUAAAACUUGAAAUAUAUCUAAUGCGAUAUGAUUGAUGGAAUGAUUUGCAGACUAUAGUUAUAUGUAAUUAUUAAGAUUUUCGAUAUUUUAGACAUGUCCUUGACAUAGAAAUUAUAUUUGUAUUAGAUUUUAUCGACAUUAAUAUACCCAAUAUAAUAAUUUGGGAGAAAUUAAGGUAUUUUUAUCAAUUUUCACUAGAAAAAAAAAUAUAUAUAUAUAUAUUUCCAUGAUUGUGAAGGUAAUAUACAAGCGAUUUCAUGAUUAUUUUACAAAGUAAGCAUAUAGAAUACCUAACCCAUGAAAAGUAUCAGUUAUAAGCAUCCAUGUAGUAUAGAUAUAACUGUAUAAAUAAUAAUAAACUCCUAUUAUUUUGUAUAAAAUAAAUGCUGGGCCAUCUGUGUAAGAUAUGCGUUAAAAAUAAUUGAAAUAUAUAUAAAUGGUUUACUAUAUGAUAUCAUAAGUGAAAGAUUAUCACAGCUUGACGUAGGUACAUUUUAUUUUGUUUUUGCUAAUAUGUGAUGAAAAUAACUAUAUAAUAUUAUCUUUCUUGUUAUCGAAUACCAUGGAAUUUAAAUAUGAUUUUGUAGGUAUUAU